rnacentral:rRNA from 1 species
GAAUAUUGGACAAUGGGGGCAACCCUGAUCCAGCAAUGCCGCGUGUGUGAAGAAGGCCUGCGGGUUGUAAAGCACUUUCAGUAGAGAAGAAAAGCGCAUGGUUAAUACCCGUGUGUCUUGACGUAACCUACAGAAGAAGCACCGGCUAACUCCGUUCCAGCAGCCGCGGUAAUACGGAGGGUGCAAGCGUUAAUCGGAAUUACUGGGCGUAAGCGCGCGUAGGCGGCUUUGUAAGUCGGAUGUGAAAGCCCUGGGCUUAACCUGGGAAUUGCAUUCGAUACUGCAUGGCUAGAGUAUGGUAGAGGGAAGUGGAAUUUCCGGUGUAGCGGUGAAAUGCGUAGAUAUCUGGAGGAACACCGGUGGCGAAGGCGGCAUCCUGGACCGGCAUUGACGCUGAGGCGCGAAAGCCAGGGGAGCAAACGG